rnacentral:rRNA from 1 species
GACUGCGUACCUUUUGUAUAAUGGGUCAGCGACUUAUAUUCUGUAGCAAGGUUAACCGAAUAGGGGAGCCGAAGGGAAACCGAGUCUUAACUGGGCGUUAAGUUGCAGGGUAUAGACCCGAAACCCGGUGAUCUAGCCAUGGGCAGGUUGAAGGUUGGGUAACACUAACUGGAGGACCGAACCGACUAAUGUUGAAAAAUUAGCGGAUGACUUGUGGCUGGGGGUGAAAGGCCAAUCAAACCGGGAGAUAGCUGGUUCUCCCCGAAAGCUAUUUAGGUAGCGCCUCGUGAAUUCAUCUCCGGGGGUAGAGCACUGUUUCGGCAAGGGGGUCAUCCCGACUUACCAACCCGAUGCAAACUGCGAAUACCGGAGAAUGUUAUCACGGGAGACACACGGCGGGUGCUAACGUCCGUCGUGAAGAGGGAAACAACCCAGACCGCCAGCUAAGGUCCCAAAGUCAUGGUUAAGUGGGAAACGAUGUGGGAAGGCCCAGACAGCCAGGAUGUUGGCUUAGAAGCAGCCAUCAUUUAAAGAAAGCGUAAUAGCUCACUGGUCGAGUCGGCCUGCGCGGAAGAUGUAACGGGGCUAAACCAUGCACCGAAGCUGCGGCAGCGACACUAUGUGUUGUUGGGUAGGGGAGCGUUCUGUAAGCCUGUGAAGGUGUGCUGUGAGGUAUGCUGGAGGUAUCAGAAGUGCGAAUGCUGACAUAAGUAACGAUAAAGCGGGUGAAAAGCCCGCUCGCCGGAAGACCAAGGGUUCCUGUCCAACGUUAAUCGGGGCAGGGUGAGUCGACCCCUAAGGCGAGGCCGAAAGGCGUAGUCGAUGGGAAACAGGUUAAUAUUCCUGUACUUGGUGUUACUGCGAAGGGGGGACGGAGAAGGCUAUGUUGGCCGGGCGACGGUUGUCCCGGUUUAAGCGUGUAGGCUGGUUUUCCAGGCAAAUCCGGAAAAUCAAGGCUGAGGCGUGAUGACGAGGCACUACGGUGCUGAAGCAACAAAUGCCCUGCUUCCAGGAAAAGCCUCUAAGCAUCAGGUAACAUCAAAUCGUACCCCAAACCGACACAGGUGGUCAGGUAGAGAAUACCAAGGCGCUUGAGAGAACUCGGGUGAAGGAACUAGGCAAAAUGGUGCCGUAACUUCGGGAGAAGGCACGCUGAUAUGUAGGUGAAGUCCCUUGCGGAUGGAGCUGAAAUCAGUCGAAGAUACCAGCUGGCUGCAACUGUUUAUUAAAAACACAGCACUGUGCAAACACGAAAGUGGACGUAUACGGUGUGACGCCUGCCCGGUGCCGGAAGGUUAAUUGAUGGGGUUAGCGGUAACGCGAAGCUCUUGAUCGAAGCCCCGGUAAACGGCGGCCGUAACUAUAACGGUCCUAAGGUAGCGAAAUUCCUUGUCGGGUAAGUUCCGACCUGCACGAAUGGCGUAAUGAUGGCCAGGCUGUCUCCACCCGAGACUCAGUGAAAUUGAACUCGCUGUGAAGAUGCAGUGUACCCGCGGCAAGACGGAAAGACCCCGUGAACCUUUACUAUAGCUUGACACUGAACAUUGAGCCUUGAUGUGUAGGAUAGGUGGGAGGCUUUGAAGUGUGGACGCCAGUCUGCAUGGAGCCGACCUUGAAAUACCACCCUUUAAUGUUUGAUGUUCUAACGUUGGCCCCUGAUCGGGGUUGCGGACAGUGUCUGGUGGGUAGUUUGACUGGGGCGGUCUCCUCCUAAAGAGUAACGGAGGAGCACGAAGGUUGGCUAAUCCUGGUCGGACAUCAGGAGGUUAGUGCAAUGGCAUAAGCCAGCUUGACUGCGAGCGUGACGGCGCGAGCAGGUGCGAAAGCAGGUCAUAGUGAUCCGGUGGUUCUGAAUGGAAGGGCCAUCGCUCAACGGAUAAAAGGUACUCCGGGGAUAACAGGCUGAUACCGCCCAAGAGUUCAUAUCGACGGCGGUGUUUGGCACCUCGAUGUCGGCUCAUCACAUCCUGGGGCUGAAGUAGGUCCCAAGGGUAUGGCUGUUCGCCAUUUAAAGUGGUACGCGAGCUGGGUUUAGAACGUCGUGAGACAGUUCGGUCCCUAUCUGCCGUGGGCGCUGGAGAACUGAGGGGGGCUGCUCCUAGUACGAGAGGACCGGAGUGGACGCAUCACUGGUGUUCGGGUUGUCAUGCCAAUGGCACUGCCCGGUAGCUAAAUGCGGAAGAGAUAAGUGCUGAAAGCAUCUAAGCACGAAACUUGCCCCGAGAUGAGUUCU